UUCCGAAACCUCCGGGAUCGAACCAGGGACCUUUAGAUCUUCAGUUUAACUAACGCUCUCCCACAACUGAGUUAUUUGGA